rnacentral:rRNA from 1 species
UACGGAGGGUGCAAGCGUUGUCCGGAUUUAUUGGGGUUAAAGGGUGCGUAGGCGGCUUUUUAAGUCAGUGGUGAAAUCCUACAGCUUAACUGUAGAACAGCCAUUGAUACUGAAAAGCUUGAGUACAGACGAGGUAGGCGGAAUUUAUGGUGUAGCGGUGAAAUGCAUAGAUACCAUAAAGAACUCCUAUUGCGAAGGCAGCUUACUAGGCUGUAACUGACGCUGAGGCACGAAAGCGUGGGGAUCAAACAGG